GACGAACGCUGGCGGCGUGCUUAACACAUGCAAGUCGAACGGAAAGGCCCUGCUUUUGUGGGGUGCUCGAGUGGCGAACGGGUGAGUAACACGUGAGUAACCUGCCCUUGACUUUGGGAUAACUUCAGGAAACUGGGGCUAAUACCGGAUAGGAGCUCCUGCUGCAUGGUGGGGGUUGGAAAGUUUCGGCGGUUGGGGAUGGACUCGCGGCUUAUCAGCUUGUUGGUGGGGUAGUGGCUUACCAAGGCUUUGACGGGUAGCCGGCCUGAGAGGGUGACCGGCCACAUUGGGACUGAGAUACGGACCAGACUCCUACGGGAGGCAGCAGUGGGGAAUAUUGCACAAUGGGCGGAAGCCUGAUGCAGCAACGCCGCGUGCGGGAUGACGGCCUUCGGGUUGUAAACCGCUUUCGCCUGUGACGAAGCGUGAGUGACGGUAAUGGGUAAAGAAGCACCGGCUAACUACG
rnacentral:rRNA from 1 species